GAUGAACGCUAGCGGCAGGCCUAAUACAUGCAAGUCGAACGGCCCCGACACUUCGGUGUCGGGGUAGUGGCGCACGGGUGCGUAACGCGUACACAACAUACCCUUUACAGGGGGGAUAGCGGCGGGAAACUGCCAGUAAUACCCCAUGUCCUUGCGAGGUGGCAUCAUUUUGCAAAGAAAGUUCAAGCGGUAAAGGAUUGGUGUGCGCCCGAUUAGCUAGUUGGCGGGGUAACGGCCCACCAAGGGGACGAUGCGUAGCUGGUCUGAGAGGAUGAUCAGCCACACUGGGACUGAGACACGGCCCAGACUCCUACGGGAGGCAGCAGUGGGGAAUAUUGGACAAUGGGCGAAAGCCUGAUCCAGCAAUGCCGCGUGAGUGAUGAAGGCCUUAGGGUUGUAAAGCUCUUUUACCAGGGAUGAUAAUGACAGUACCUGGAGAAUAAGCUCCGGCUAACUCCGUG
rnacentral:rRNA from 1 species